rnacentral:misc_RNA from 1 species
UUGCUCGCCGAAGUUCGGGGCGGUUCCAACUCCGGCGACAACUCCGGCGAGCAAUUACUCCCAAUCCGUGCAUCGUCUGCGGAAUCCGAGGGUACCACUGCGUUCGUCUCGUCGAAGGCUUCGUCGCAGCGCGUUCGGUUCAUCGAUUGGAUCCCCGAAUCUCCGGCAAUCGACGGAUUUCUCCUCGGCUCCGGCGAGGGUCUUCUUCCCCGAGGAGAAAAGAAGGCUUGGGAACUCCCGGAAGGAGCCAUAGUCUUGAAAGGAAUUCUAGUCUCCCCUAAGGCUAUGGAUAAGCAAGAGCACCCAGAAUCCUCCCAAGAUCCCCCGCCAGAGUUGUUUGAGCCCCUCACCAUGAAGAAGAUUCCAGCACUGCCUCGUGAGGUCAAGGAAGAAGCUGCAAGCACCCCGCCAGCACCGCCGCCCUAUGAGGAGCUACAAGAGCCAGUUCAGCUUGAAGAAGAGUUCGACCCCGUCCUUCCAUCUCAGUUGCCAUCAGAAGAAGUCAUCAACAUUAGCUCCCUCUUGACCCAUCCAGGAGAUGUCUCAGAUUGA